UAGUGGCGAACGGGUGAGUAACGCGUAAGUAACCUGCCCCCAAGUAGGGGAUAACUCUGAGAAAUUGGAGCUAAUACCGUAUGUGGUGGUAGAGGUAAUGCUUUAUUACUAAAGCCUUUGGGUGCUUGGGGAGGGGCUUGCGUCCGAUUAGCUAGUUGGUAGGGUAAUGGUUUACCAAGGCGAUGAUCGGUAGCUGGUUUGAGAGGACGGCCAGCCACACUGGGACUGAGACACGGCCCAGACUCCUACGGGAGGCAGCAGCAAGGAAUAUUGUGCAAUGGGCGAAAGCCUGACACAGCGACACCGCGUGGGGGAUGAAGGCCUUCGGGUCGUAAACCCCUUUUCUCAGGGAAGAAUAAUGACGGUACCUGAGGAAUAAGUCUCGGCUAACUACGUGCCAGCAGCCGCGGUAAUACGUAGGAGGCGAGCGUUAUCCGGAUUUACUGGGCGUAAAGAGGGUGUAGGCGGUUCUUCAAGUCGGAUGUAAAAUCUCCCGGCUUAACCGGGAGGGAUCAUUCGAUACUGUUGGGCUAGAGGGCAGCAGAGGGAGAUGGAAUUCCCGGUGGAGUGGUGAAAUGCGUAGAUAUCGGGAGGAACACCAGUGGCGAAGGCGGUCUCCUAGGCUGUUUCUGACGCUGAGGCCCAAAAGCGUGGGGAGCGAACAGGAUUAGAUACCCUGGUAGUCCACGCUGUAAACUAUGGACACUAGGUAUGGGGAGUAUCGACCCUCUCCGUGCCGAAGCUAACGCU
rnacentral:rRNA from 1 species